rnacentral:lncRNA from 1 species
AUGGGUCCGUUCUCGUCUGCGCACAACAGAGAGGGGAAUCCGCCCCUGCAGACAGAAAAAGGGAGACACCCCCCCACACACACCCCCGCCGUCCCACCCCAACGUCCGGUCUCCCCAUCUGCUCUCAGGUUGGCCUCAAGGGGUCGUCCCCUCUGGCGUUCGGGUGGGCGCUGGCCGUGGUUUGGCACCAACAUGAGAUCCAGAGGGCGCGAGCGGCCCCACCCCAGGUGUCCGUGGGCAGGGCUGCCAACGAGUGGGCCUCCAGGGACAACCCCACGGGCCUCCUCCCCUGGGCUGCAGCCUCGGCCCCUCCCACCACCACCCCAGUCAGGCGCAGCCCGUCUAAAGUGUCCAGGCGCUGACCAGCCCGCGGGUGAGUCCCUCCUGCCCCCCAGCUGGGCCCACGGCGCUGGACACGACACAACGCUCGGCAACAGGGCCCUGGGCCGUGAGAGGAGGAGCCGGUGGCCCACACGGAGCAGGACCAUGCGGGGUGAGGGAGGUGGCACCACACUCUGCAGAGAGGAGCAGAGUGGUUCCGGAACCUUCCUCCCAGCUGAGCCGAGGGCAGCGGGCAGCCAGAGCCCCGCGAGGAAGCCGCAGGCAGGCAGGCAUCUGGGCAGGUGGGCACCCCGAGGGUCGACGGUCCUGUGGCCCUGCCCCAUGCACGGGGUGCUGGCUCCACAGGAGCAGAUGGCAGGGUCACCGUCAUGCACCUCACAGCCCGGAGGCCCCGAGGGCCCAGGUCACCCGCACUCAGAGGCCGCGGCCCAGGACCGCCAGCCGUGGACGCAGAACGUGGCCACGAAAGAGGAACUCAGCCUGAGUCCCACCCGGGGUGUGAGUCGUCUGCAGUCAGACACCCCCUGGGGACAGAAGGGACAGCGCUCAGGACCCAGUGGAUGGGCGCAGGGACAGACGGACACACGGGACGGCUUGGCACCCUCCAGGGCGCUUCCCAGUCAAUUCAGGACCGACCUGGGAAUUCUCUGGGAGCAGCAAAUACCGAGAAGCCAGACGGGGGCCCACACCUGCCAUGGCCUCUGGGGGCUUGAGGACACAGGUGCGAAGGGCCGGGGGCAACACUGA